GUGAAUCAUCGAAUUUUUGAACGCAAAUUGCACUCUCUGGUAUUCCGGGGAGUAUGCCUAUUUGAGGGUCAGUUUAAAUAAAAAUCGGUGUGGCUGCUGCCUUUCGUGGUGACGCACCGGAUGUGGGUCGUCUUGCUUUCGGUUAAGUGAACUAAAAUUUUGCAUGAUUUUUUCGAACGUAUUUAAAUGAUUUUACGUACGUUUGCGAUAUUGAAUACUAACUGCCGUUAUCCUCCUGA
rnacentral:misc_RNA from 1 species